ensembl:snRNA U6 U6 spliceosomal RNA
GUGCUCACUUUGGCAGCACAUAUACUGAAACUGGAAUGAUAUAGAGAAAAUGAGCAUGACCCCCGUGCAAGGAUGACACGCAAAUUUGUGAAGCGUUCCAUAUUUUU